AAUACACACACGCACAGCCCACUGAAUACACACACUGCUGAGUACACACAGACUGCUGAAUACACGCACACACACAGACUGCUGAAUACACACAUACUGCAUUGAGGGGUGUAGUGUAUGUGUUUGUGUGUGGGGUGCUGUGUGUGAGGGGUGGUGUGUGUGUGUAUGAGGGGUGCUGUGUGUGUGUGACGGGUGUUGUGUGUGUGUGUGUGUGUGUG